rnacentral:rRNA from 1 species
CACGUAGGGGGCGAGCGUUGUCCGGAUUUAUUGGGCGUAAAGAGCUCGUAGGCGGCUCGGUAAGUCGGGUGUGAAACCUCCAGGCUCAACCUGGAGACGCCACCUGAUACUGCUGUGGCUAGAGUCCGGUAGGGGAGUGUGGAACUCCUGGUGUAGCGGUGAAAUGCGCAGAUAUCAGGAAGAACACCAGCGGCGAAGGCGGCACUCUGGGCCGGAACUGACGCUGAGGAGCGAAAGUGUGGGGAGCGAACAGG